rnacentral:rRNA from 1 species
UGGGGAAUUUUGGACAAUGGGCGAAAGCCUGAUCCAGCAAUGCCGCGUGUGUGAAGAAGGCCUUCGGGUUGUAAAGCACUUUUGUCCGGAAAGAAAUCCUCUGGGUUAAUACCUCGGGGGGAUGACGGUACCGGAAGAAUAAGCACCGGCUAACUACGUGCCAGCAGCCGCGGUAAUACGUAGGGUGCAAGCGUUAAUCGGAAUUACUGGGCGUAAAGCGUGCGCAGGCGGUUUUGUAAGACGGAUGUGAAAUCCCCGGGCUUAACCUGGGAACUGCAUUCGUGACUGCAAGGCUAGAGUAUGGCAGAGGGGGGUAGAAUUCCACGUGUAGCAGUGAAAUGCGUAGAGAUGUGGAGGAAUACCGAUGGCGAAGGCAGCCCCCUGGGCCAAAUACUGACGCUCAUGCACGAAAGCGUGGGGAGCAAACAGGAUUAGAUACCCUGGUAGUCCACGCCCUAAAACGAUGUCAACUAGUUGUUGGGGAUUCAUUUCCUUAGUAACGUAGCUAACGCGUGAAGUUGACCGCCUGGGGAGUACGGUCGCAAGAUUAAAACUCAAAUGAAUUGACGGGGUCAUAGCUGUUUCCU